rnacentral:rRNA from 1 species
UACGGAGGGUGCGAGCGUUGUCCGGAAUUACUGGGCGUAAAGCGUGCGUAGGCGGUUCGUUAAGUCAGCUGUGAAAGCCCCGGGCUCAACCUGGGAAUGGCAAUGGAAACUGGCGGGCUGGAGUAUGGCAGAGGGGGGUGGAAUUCCGCGUGUAGCAGUGAAAUGCGUAGAGAUGCGGAGGAACACCGAUGGCGAAGGCAGCCCCCUGGGCCAAUACUGACGCUCAGGCACGAAAGCGUGGGGAGCAAACAGG